GAUGAACGCUGGCGGCGUGCCUAAUACAUGCAAGUCGAGCGAACGGACGAGAAGCUUGCUUCUCUGAUGUUAGCGGCGGACGGGUGAGUAACACGUGGAUAACCUACCUAUAAGACUGGGAUAACUUCGGGAAACCGGAGCUAAUACCGGAUAAUAUUUUGAACCGCAUGGUUCAAAAGUGAAAGACGGUCUUGCUGUCACUUAUAGAUGGAUCCGCGCUGCAUUAGCUAGUUGGUAAGGUAACGGCUUACCAAGGCAACGAUGCAUAGCCGACCUGAGAGGGUGAUCGGCCACACUGGAACUGAGACACGGUCCAGACUCCUACGGGAGGCAGCAGUAGGGAAUCUUUCGCAAUGGGCGAAAGCCUGACGGAGCAACGCCGCGUGAGUGAUGAAGGUCUUCGGAUCGUAAAACUCUGUUAUUAGGGAAGAACAUAUGUGUAAGUAACUGUGCACAUCUUGACGGUACCUAAUCAGAAAGCCACGGCUAACUACGUGCCAGCAGCCGCGGUAAUACGUAGGUGGCAAGCGUUAUCCGGAAAUAUUGGGCGUAAAGCGCGCGUAGGCGGUUUUUUAGUCUGAUGUGAAAGCCCACGGCUCAACCGUGGAGGGUCAUUGGAAACUGGAAAACUUGAGUGCAGAAGAGGAAAGUGGAAUUCCAUGUGUAGCGGUGAAAUGCGCAGAGAUAUGGAGGAACACCAGUGGCGAAGGCGACUUUCUGGUCUGUAACUGACGCUGAUGUGCGAAAGCGUGGGGAUCAAACAGGAUUAGAUACCCUGGUAGUCCACGCCGUAGACGAUGAGUGCUAAGUGUUAGGGGGUUUCCGCCCCUUAGUGCUGCAGCUAACGCAUUAAGCACUCCGCCUGGGGAGUACGACCGCAAGGUUGAAACUCAAAGGAAUUGACGGGGACCCGCACAAGCGGUGGAGCAUGUGGUUUAAUUCGAAGCAACGCGAAGAACCUUACCAAAUCUUGACAUCCUUUGACAACUCUAGAGAUAGAGCCUUCCCCUUCGGGGGACAAAGUGACAGGUGGUGCAUGGUUGUCGUCAGCUCGUGUCGUGAGAUGUUGGGUUAAGUCCCGCAACGAGCGCAACCCUUAAGCUUAGUUGCCAUCAUUAAGUUGGGCACUCUAAGUUGACUGCCGGUGACAAACCGGAGGAAGGUGGGGAUGACGUCAAAUCAUCAUGCCCCUUAUGAUUUGGGCUACACACGUGCUACAAUGGACAAUACAAAGGGCAGCGAAACCGCGAGGUCAAGCAAAUCCCAUAAAGUUGUUCUCAGUUCGGAUUGUAGUCUGCAACUCGACUACAUGAAGCUGGAAUCGCUAGUAAUCGUAGAUCAGCAUGCUACGGUGAAUACGUUCCCGGGUCU
rnacentral:rRNA from 1 species